GCAAUUCCACGCCAAAAUCUUCGCAGGAUAUCAUCCGCCUGCCGCAGCGAAGGCAGCAAAAGCAGCAAUUGUUGCUGAUGCGACACGGCCGACGAAUGACGCAGCAAGUAGACCACAUCGUUUAGAGAAUUAAGAAUCGUAUCACGAAAUGCGCGCAGGGAACUCUGAUCAUCCAGCAGAAUGUCGCAGUUGGCCAGCAGGAGCGCCUUUAGCAAGUAGUACUCCUCCCUUCGUGGCGAUAUUCUUUCCAUGCGCUGUGCGAUCUGGACGCAGUGGUAGUAGAACUCCGUGUAACCGCACUCCUUGGCCAAAUGUUCAUCCAUCCAGACAUCCGUGGCGAAGCAUAACUUGCCAUUGAACGGUAGGGACCGGAAGGUCAGCUGGAGCGUCAGGAUCUCUGCCCACGACACCUGGAG
ensembl:ncRNA asRNA:CR45869 antisense RNA:CR45869